GCUGAGUGUCCCGCGGGGCCCG
rnacentral:piRNA from 1 species